UGGUAGAGCACAAUAACAAGCUAGCUAGUGUGAUGAUGAGGUUCAUGUGUCUGCAAUGCUUCAAUGCCAGCUACAGCCUGGAGGGGAGUGUCCAUGUCUACUGCUUUGGGUUUCAAUGCGCACCAGAUGAGUUCAACACCAUGCAUAUCUCGAUCUAGUGUGUCUGAUGAGAGAGUAAUUUUGUUUGAUCCCAAUGCUUACUUGAACCUUCUGGAGGGCCCAACUCGGUAUGGGUAACAGGGGCGUAAGCAAUUAAUAAGCCGAGACAUAGAUAACGAUCAGGUUGAGAUAUGUUUAUUUAGAUUAGGCCUUCAAUGGCUAUUUUUAAACAAAUAUCGUCUUUAUUCAGUGGCAUCAGCAAGGAGAGUGCUGUCGGAAUCUGUUGCUGACCUGCAGCUUUGGCACUGGAGUGAAUAAUUGGGUAUUUUCUCCAAAUAUCCUCUAGGAAUUAAGUGUUACAAUUAGUGAAACUGAAAUAUAUAGCAUUAUAUAUGCAAUUUUUCAUGGUUCUCCUACCGUGUACAAGUACGACACAAACGGUGUUGUCUCGAUGUCUGAUCGCCAAAAUACAUUAAUUAUAAUCAGAUGUUGUUUGGCUCAAGUUCUCGGGUAGGGAGGGUCUUUUGUUUCUACUGGCAAGAAAGGUUUUACAUUGGAAUCAAAGAUGGAGGUAUACUUGUGGUCAGAUUAAGAGAAUCUUGUUAUUACACACCUUGUAAGGAACGACAAGAUGGACUGGUCAACUAUCCUGAGCUUGUUCGUCCCCUCAGCAGCUCUCUACCAAACGAGGGCAUGGCUUGCUGUGCUCCCAACUCUCACCCCACCACCUCUCUCACCUUCAGAGCUCACAGUGCCACUGAUGGAACUACUGGUGAUGAAGAAUGUGAGCGCAACAUAAGGUGUGAGUGUGAUGCUGGGUACAGACUGAAUGCAGCUGGAACAGGAUGUCAAGUUUGUCCUGCUGGUACCUACCGCUCUCUUUUAGAUCCUCCACGAGUGUGUAUAACAUGUCCAACAAAUACUGUAUCAAAUGUUGUGGGAGCAUCGAUUUGUAGAUGUUUAGGUGGUUACUACAGAAGAGCAUCUCAAGUCUACUGUCAGGCUUGCCCAGUUGAUACUUAUCGCUCUGGGUCAGACUCACAAGAGACACGGUGUAUUAGUUGUCCCUCAAACACUGUGAGAUUUGCAGUGGCUGCAUUAGUAUGUCGGUGUUUGGCUGGCUUCUUCCGAGGUGUCACUGAGACAAACUUUCAAUCUUGCACAACUCCCCCUGACCCAGUAAGAAACCUCCGUACAACCACCAUCACUUCCACUAGUGUUAGCCUCUCAUGGACCAGACCUGAGGUCACCGGAAGAGAUGACUUCUACUACUCCAUUGAGUACAGUGAUCCUAACACUGGGUCGUUCAUACUCAGCAAUGGAAACUAUGUCAAUUCUACACUCACAGUCUCCUACACAGUCCCUAACCUGCGUCCCAACACACCAUACACUAUACGAGUGACCACUCACAAUGAAGUCAGCGACCAAGACACUGAGAAUGAAGCUCUGAGGAUAGCUUAUCUAUUCAUCAAAAUGAGGGAAGGAAUCCCAAGUGUCCCACGAGAUGUUCAAGUGUUCUCAGGAGUUGUUGUGUGGGGACCCCCAGCUGAGCCUAAUGGAGUUAUUUCUGGCUACGAGUUGAGAUUUUCUGGAUCCUUUACUCGCACUGUCAACAAGUUGCCAUCUGAGAGCUAUCACGUUGUUACUGGCGAUAAUAUCAGGAAUCUCGGCAGUAAUAUUCAAGUUUCAUGUUCGUUAUUUGCUUCAGGUACAAGCAAAGACAUCUGCUGGUGGGCAGUAUAGUAGUCUGAUACAGUACACUAGUGACUCCACCACCUGCCCUUCAUGUCCAGUUAUCACUUGCCCUCCACCUACCACAGAAGGUGAUGUGUAUUUCAUGUUGCGUGGGAGGAAUUACUAAUGGAGACACUGCAUGUGAUGAUCACUGAUAUUGGAGAGGGA